UACGUAGGGGGCAAGCGUUGUCCGGAUUUAUUGGGCGUAAAGAGCUCGUAGGCGGUUUGUCGCGUCGAAUGUGAAAACCCGGGGCUCAACCCCGGGCCUGCAUUCGAUACGGGCAGACUAGAGUUCGGUAGGGGAGUCUGGAAUUCCUGGUGUAGCGGUGAAAUGCGCAGAUAUCAGGAGGAACACCGGUGGCGAAGGCGGGUCUCUGGGCCGUAACUGACGCUGAGGAGCGAAAGCAUGGGGAGCGAACAGG
rnacentral:rRNA from 1 species